AACCUUUACACUGCACGCGAGUGCGAUAGGGGGACUCCGAGUGCGAGGGCAUAUAGUCCUCGCUUUUCGCGACCGUAAGGAGGUCGCAGAAUAAGUGCUGGGCAAGACCGGUGCCAGCCGCCGCGGUAAUACCGGCAGCACGAGUGAUGACCGCUAUUAUUGGGCCUAAAGCGUCCGUAGCUGGCCGUGCAAGUCCAUCGGGAAAUCCGCGCGCUCAACGCGCGGGCGUCCGGUGGAAACUGCGUGGCUUGGGACCGGAAGACCAGAGGGGUACGUCCGGGGUAGGAGUGAAAUCCCGUAAUCCUGGACGGACCACCGGUGGCGAAAGCGCCUCUGGAAGACGGAUCCGACGGUGAGGGACGAAAGCUCGGGUCACGAACCGGAUUAGAUACCCGGGUAGUCCGAGCUGUAAACGAUGUCUGCUAGGUGUGCCACAGGCUACGAGCCUGUGGUGUGCCGUAGGGAAGCCGUGAAGCAGACCGCCUGGGAAGUACGUCCGCAAGGAUGAAACUUAAAGGAAUUGGCGGGGGAGCAC
rnacentral:rRNA from 1 species